AGACAAUCUGAACAAUGCUCGUCAAAAAGCCAAAAUAGCUGAAGACACAUCUAGUUUGGAAAAUGCUUUUGAGGAGACAGAAGAAAGUUCAGGAACUUUCAGGAAAAACAAAAAAGACCCUAUUUCGAAGGUACCCCUAUUUCGAAGAGUGACAAAGAUCAGUUAUGACAGAGAAAGUGAAAAUGAGGAUUCUGAAAACGAUCUAUUGCACAGUGUAGAACCAAAAAAGAAGAUGUUAGCAA
rnacentral:lncRNA from 1 species